GAUUUAAAAAGAACAUAAUUAAUAUGGUCAUUUCUCAUCAAUAUGGCCAUUUGAGUAUGAAAAGAUUUGAAAACUGUAGUUGGAAAAGAUCAUGUGAAUCUCAAACAGCUAGCUUUAUCUUAGUGCAAUGAACCAGUUAAGUACUUUGUGGGAACUUCAUCCACUUCAACUUCAUUUUAGUUUUUUUUUAUACUUUAUAAAGUGUGUUUAUACUUUAGUUGCUUUCAUUAGUUAACUAACAGAAAUUUGAGAGUGGAAAACAAUAAUGUGGGUGAAACAUGUUAGGUUUUCCCAUUUUAGCUCUGGAUUAGCAUGUACUGAACUUUAUACUGGUAUAUCCAAAUGUAAUUUCAUGCUUACCAUACAACAGGAGAUGUCCAGGAAAAGAUGAAUGCUUUGGUCAUCUGCUGUUUCGUCUGAAAAACAACAAACAGAAGAUACCGUUAUGCAUUAUAACGCGAUAUUCCUAUUUAAUUAUAAAUUAAUUUAUACUAUUAAAAUAACAACAACAGUGAUAAUCAACCACAUUUAACUAGACCAGGGGUCUCCAACCUUUUUGUGAGCAAGGGCUGCCACAAUGGAUAAAACAUGCUGGAUGGCUACUUUUUGAUAUAGCAUACUCAAAACGUUUUUGUUUAACUUGUUGAUUUUAUUUUAUUUUAUUUUACUUGUUGGUAUGUUUUAGAAUUGUUUAAAAUGUUAACAUACGUAAAGCAAGCCAAGCUUAUAUAAAAAUAUGUAAUUAUGCUCACCGUUGUCUGAACUGCAAUUCGCUGGGUGCAUUUCUUCAAUUUCUUCAAUCACUUUUUUUCUGGGUCCUCGGAUUGCAUUUCACUUUCACCAAUCUCUCUAACUCCAGUAAAGUUAUCCUCCGGGUCUUUACACAUGACAGGACAUCACUCACAGCGGGUUCAUGAGUGGAUAGCAGCAGGCUCUGUACGUUAUCUGACCUGACGUAGUCCUUUUGGAUUUUUUCUCCCAAACUCCAUUUUUGAAAUAGCGCUUUCUGUGGUCAAAAUACUGUGUAUGACACAGUUCAGUGUUGCAAUGUUCACAGAAGCGCCAAGGUCGUUUCUUCAGUCUUGGGACUUCCAUCUUUCAACUGACAGCACACUGUGUUGAUAUCACACAGAGCUCCCGGCACAUCGUGUUUGUUGUUUAUAUCAUACGCAUGCGCGCACGUCUCACAAGAUAUCAAUAACCUCGCGUGUGAUUGGAGGAGCCCGACAGGCUUCUCGCCUUCGUCCAAUCGCGUGCGAGGUCAUGGCCACGGCUCACACAGCAGUACAAGAGGAGCAUUAAGCGAUGUUUGGUUUGGUGUUUGUAACUCUCCAAGAAGAGAAGACGGGUGCACAAUCCCAAGAUUGCGGUAAGAAUAAUUUUAUGUAAAAGCAUAUUUUUAAGUAGCCCAAGCUAAAAGCCCAAGCUGUGUGUUUUAUUGCUUAGAGGUGUUUUUGUCUUGUAAUUUUUAGGAGGCUGUACGGCGUCUCUGAGGCACACUGCAGGCGCUUUGAACCAGAGCAAAGACUAACGUCGCCUCAUAACGAAGCCGCGACCUCCUAUUUGGUUGGGGCUAUUUUAGCAAGUCCACAUUUAACUGCUGAGAAUGACGACAUUGUUUCUGCCUGUAAGACGUAUUAUGAGUCGGUUCGCCGGAGCUUCAGAUACAAACAACCUGAACUCCCAUCGCGGGCGGAAAAUGCGAAAAGUUUAGCUCGGAGUCGAUCCAGAAGAAAAAGGUUGCUGGAAGCGAGACGAAGUGUGCUGGCUGAGGAUGAGAUGGACAUUUGAAAGUGCGCCACCAUAGAUCUCAUGUCUGAUGAAGACGGCAUUGUUGACGGGGUGUCUGGAUGGAUUGUACGGCCACCGCCCUCUCGCAGCCUGGAACUCUCCGAGCUCUGUGCCACGCUGCAAUUCAGAUUAGAGGCGAUACCAAAGUACAUGGGAACUCACCAUAUAUGCCUGCAAAAGCGACUUUUUUACAACGUUUUUGAGUUUUUUUUCUUUUUCUUUUUUCAACACUUGAUAACUUUGAAAAAGAUUUUUAGGGAUCUUUCCCAAAUGUCUUGGGCACUUUUUGACGUGUUUGGAGGACAACAUAAGAGACAUUAUGCUGCUUUGUACAUAGUUGUGUGUUUCUAAUUAAAGCUCUUUCUUUGAAUAAACAGCUGUGUGUUUAUAAAUAAACCUCUUUGUUUUCUCUUAUACUUCUUGAUGGUGUGAAUAAUGAAGUACAUAGCACAAUGACAUUAUUAUAUAAAAAAUUAAUAUCACAUAAAUUAUAUAUUUAUUAUUAUUAUUAUUGGGGUUUACAUUUAUAAUGAGCCAGGGUGCCCAAUAACCCCCCUCUUUAGAGUAACGGCCCGACUUGAA